AAGAACAGCUCAGACUUGCAAACCAGCCAGACAUGGACCUUUGAGGGGCCCCGGUUUACUGUGAAAACAGCAAUGUCUCCACCUGGAUCCUGGAGAAGGUGAUACACACUGGAGCUGCAGGGCCUCCUCUCUCUGCGCCAAACUCAGAUGGACUGAGUAGGAAAAUGUCCCCAGGAAGAGCUCCUUGGCAGAGAUACUCUGUGGAGAAGCAGCCACCACCCAAGGGAGAUGCUGGAGAAAUGAUGAGGCAUCCACAGCACUCAACACAGGGCUGGCACAGAGUAAGUGCCCAGCAGACAUUUGUUAAGGGAAGGAAGAAGGAGAAUUAGUCCAAACCUCUAGGAAAGGUAAGAAAACUGGCUGAGAGGCUUGGCCCAGGCAGCAGUGGGUCUCCUGCCCUGGGGCUGAGCUAUUCUAUUCUCUCUCCCUUCUUUCCUCUGUCAGCCUAACCCAGCAGCGAGAGGACCCUGGGGUGGGGGUGGGAGCAGCCAGAGGGGUGAGAGGGAGCUGCAGGCAGAAGACCCCAUCCCCUGGGGAGGCAGAAAGCUGGAGCUGGAGGAGAGCGAAGGCUGAAGCUCACAACUGCUGUGGCCCACCCAGGCCGCACAUCCACGCCUACAGC